CAUUUAAUUCAAUAUUGUAUAUUUUUUAUUUUAUAUAUAGCACAGUUUAUAUAGAGAGAGAGAGAAAGAGAGAAUUAAAUAUGUGAUAUGUUAUUUUAUAUCACUCAAAAAAUUGUGUGUUUACCUUUGUUUUUUAUAUUUUAUGAAACUAUGAGUUUCUUUGAAUAUUAGCUUCUGUACGUGUGCAGACGAGUGCUGCUUACUGGAGCAAUCAGAGCAGCUUUCAGACGAGGAGAACAGAUCGAGCUGGGAGAUGGAGGUGAUGUGAGUGUUCAUCUGGAGGGGAAGCUGUGUUCUUCAGUGCUGGAGGGGUUUCUUCUGUUCGUUGCUCAUCACAGACUCUCAUCUCAUCCCGGCUGCGGUGCUCCGUUAGUUUCGGCUCGUUGUUCACCGAGCUCUUUCUCUCUUUAACGCCUCAAGCGAGAAAUGAAGCCGUUGUCUGCCGAGUGCAGCCUGAAGAUAAUGAUGACGUGAUUAUCUGUUGACUCCCUGGCCACGCCCCCAACACGUUAGCAAGUUGCUCAAAAUAAAAUACAAACGUGAGAUAAAAAUGGAUAACAGAAAGCGCAAAUGCGGCGCUAAAAAGUCCAGAAUAAAUAAGAAGAAAGCUUUGGAAACUGACGCGGACAAAUGUUCUAAACUGAGCACGUUCUUCCUCAAAAAAAACUAAACAAACGGAGACGACGAGGCCGGGCUCUUCAGCAGCAGCCGUCUCUAGUCCAGUUUGCUGCUAACAGUGAAGAGCAAGGCCCAGUAACCUUACCAAGCUCCAGUCAUGAGCCCAACACAGCAGAAUGGG